CCCUUAGAUGCUCUGGGCCGCACGCGCGCUACAUUGGUCGAUGCAACGAGUUUCUUUCCUUGGCCGACAGGCCUGGGCAAUCUUUGAACAUCGAUCGUGAUCGGGAUAGAUUCUUGUAAUUUUUGAUCUUAAACGAGGAAUUCCUAGUAAACGCAAGUCAUCAGCUUGCAUUGAUUACGUCCCUGCCCUUUGUACACACCGCCCGUCGCACCUACCGAUUGAAUGGUCCGGUGAAAUCUCCGGACUGGCGUGAGUCGGAGCAAUCUGACAAACACCGGAAAGUUGAUUAAACCUUACCAUUUAGAGGAAGGUGAAGUCGUAACA
rnacentral:rRNA from 1 species